CCCGCCGUCGAUCACGAGAUCGAGCUGCUUUUCGAGCCGCUCGCGGAUCUCCUCCGGAUCGUUCAACGGUUCGGUUUCAUCCGGCAGAA
rnacentral:tRNA from 1 species